GUUCAAGGUGCUUUCCUCGAAUGAACGAAAGAACGAACAACGUCAUCGCCUUAGACCACUGUGGAGCCUUGACAGGGAGCUCUGGGGCAGAGGAAGGAAGGGAGGAAGGAAAGUAGGAAGAACGGAAAAGCCUCUAUCAACCUUUGAUACAGUUUGGAAAUCAACUUUGGAGGUUUGUCAGACUGGCUUAAAAUAGCAUCUGGCUUGUCCAGUGUUUGCUGCGCAGAGAGAAUACGGUGUUGUAUCUGCAAAAAUUCACCUCAGCUCCAUCACAGACUGGUCUUCUCUGGCUGCCUGACCCUGUUGAGACCCUUGUCACCAUCUGAUCCUUCUAAGCUCCGUAGACUUGUCUUCCCUGGCUGUCUGACCCUGCUGGGACCCAUGUCACAAUCUGAUCCUUCUAAGACAUGAUGAGCAUAGUGUUGUGUACUGAUUGUGCACUAGAGGGCUGCAUUCCCGCG
ensembl:lncRNA